rnacentral:rRNA from 1 species
UACGUAGGGUGCGAGCGUUGUCCGGAAUUACUGGGCGUAAAGAGCUCGUAGGUGGUUUGUCGCGUUGUUCGUGAAAACUCACAGCUUAACUGUGGGCGUGCGGGCGAUACGGGCAGACUGGAGUACUGCAGGGGAGACUGGAAUUCCUGGUGUAGCGGUGGAAUGCGCAGAUAUCAGGAGGAACACCGGUGGCGGAGGCGGGUCUCUGGGCAGUAACUGACGCUGAGGUGCGAAAGCGUGGGGAGCAAACAGG